GUUAUAUGGUCAAGUGAAGAAGCGCAUACGGUGGAUGCCUUGGCAGUCAGAGGCGAUGAAAGACGUGGUAGCCUGCGAAAAGCUUCGGGGAGUCGGCAAACAGACUUUGAUCCGGAGAUCUCUGAAUGGGGGAACCCACCUAGGAUAACCUAGGUAUCUUGUACUGAAUCCAUAGGUGCAAGAGGCGAACCAGGGGAACUGAAACAUCUAAGUACCCUGAGGAAAAGAAAUCAACCGAGAUUCCCUUAGUAGUGGCGAGCGAACGGGGAUUAGCCCUUAAGCUUCAUUGAUUUUAGCGGAACGCUCUGGAAAGUGCGGCCAUAGUGGGUGAUAGCCCCGUACGCGAAAGGAUCUUUGAAGUGAAAUCGAGUAGGACGGAGCACGAGAAACUUUGUCUGAACAUGGGGGACCAUCCUCCAAGGCUAAAUACUACUGACUGACCGAUAGUGAACCAGUACCGUGAGGGAAAGGCGAAAAGAACCCCGGAGAGGGGAGUGAAAUAGAACCUGAAACCGUAUGCGUACAAGCAGUGGGAGCCUACUUGUUAGGUGACUGCGUACCUUUUGUAUAAUGGGUCAGCGACUUAUAUUCAGUGGCAAGCUUAACCGUAUAGGGUAGGCGUAGCGAAAGCGAGUCUUAAUAGGGCGUUUAGUCGCUGGGUAUAGACCCGAAACCGGGCGAUCUAUCCAUGAGCAGGUUGAAGGUUAGGUAACACUGACUGGAGGACCGAACCCACUCCCGUUGAAAAGGUAGGGGAUGACUUGUGGAUCGGAGUGAAAGGCUAAUCAAGCUCGGAGAUAGCUGGUUCUCCUCGAAAGCUAUUUAGGUAGCGCCUCAUGUAUCACUCUGGGGGGUAGAGCACUGUUUCGGCUAGGGGGUCAUCCCGACUUACCAAACCGAUGCAAACUCCGAAUACCCAGAAGUGCCGAGCAUGGGAGACACACGGCGGGUGCUAACGUCCGUCGUGAAAAGGGAAACAACCCAGACCGCCAGCUAAGGUCCCAAAGUUGUGGUUAAGUGGUAAACGAUGUGGGAAGGCUUAGACAGCUAGGAGGUUGGCUUAGAAGCAGCCAUCCUUUAAAGAAAGCGUAAUAGCUCACUAGUCGAGUCGGCCUGCGCGGAAGAUGUAACGGGGCUCAAACCACACACCGAAGCUGCGGGUGUCACGUAAGUGACGCGGUAGAGGAGCGUUCUGUAAGCCUGUGAAGGUGAGUUGAGAAGCUUGCUGGAGGUAUCAGAAGUGCGAAUGCUGACAUGAGUAACGACAAUGGGUGUGAAAAACACCCACGCCGAAAGACCAAGGGUUCCUGCGCAACGUUAAUCGACGCAGGGUUAGUCGGUUCCUAAGGCGAGGCUGAAAAGCGUAGUCGAUGGGAAACAGGUUAAUAUUCCUGUACUUCUGGUUACUGCGAUGGAGGGACGGAGAAGGCUAGGCCAGCUUGGCGUUGGUUGUCCAAGUUUAAGGUGGUAGGCUGAAAUCUUAGGUAAAUCCGGGGUUUCAAGGCCGAGAGCUGAUGACGAGUCGUCUUUUAGAUGACGAAGUGGUUGAUGCCAUGCUUCCAAGAAAAGCUUCUAAGCUUCAGGUAACCAGGAACCGUACCCCAAACCGACACAGGUGGUCGGGUAGAGAAUACCAAGGCGCUUGAGAGAACUCGGGUGAAGGAACUAGGCAAAAUGGCACCGUAACUUCGGGAGAAGGUGCGCCGGCUAGGGUGAAGGAUUUACUCCGUAAGCUCUGGCUGGUCGAAGAUACCAGGCCGCUGCGACUGUUUAUUAAAAACACAGCACUCUGCAAACACGAAAGUGGACGUAUAGGGUGUGACGCCUGCCCGGUGCCGGAAGGUUAAUUGAUGGGGUUAGCGCAAGCGAAGCUCUUGAUCGAAGCCCCGGUAAACGGCGGCCGUAACUAUAACGGUCCUAAGGUAGCGAAAUUCCUUGUCGGGUAAGUUCCGACCUGCACGAAUGGCGUAACGAUGGCGGCGCUGUCUCCACCCGAGACUCAGUGAAAUUGAAAUCGCUGUGAAGAUGCAGUGUAUCCGCGGCUAGACGGAAAGACCCCGUGAACCUUUACUGUAGCUUUGCACUGGACUUUGAGCCUGCUUGUGUAGGAUAGGUGGGAGGCUUUGAAGCGUGGACGCCAGUUCGCGUGGAGCCAUCCUUGAAAUACCACCCUGGCAUGCUUGAGGUUCUAACUCUGGUCCGUAAUCCGGAUCGAGGACAGUGUAUGGUGGGCAGUUUGACUGGGGCGGUCUCCUCCUAAAGAGUAACGGAGGAGUACGAAGGUGCGCUCAGACCGGUCGGAAAUCGGUCGCAGAGUAUAAAGGCAAAAGCGCGCUUGACUGCGAGACAGACACGUCGAGCAGGUACGAAAGUAGGUCUUAGUGAUCCGGUGGUUCUGUAUGGAAGGGCCAUCGCUCAACGGAUAAAAGGUACUCCGGGGAUAACAGGCUGAUACCGCCCAAGAGUUCAUAUCGACGGCGGUGUUUGGCACCUCGAUGUCGGCUCAUCACAUCCUGGGGCUGAAGCCGGUCCCAAGGGUAUGGCUGUUCGCCAUUUAAAGUGGUACGCGAGCUGGGUUUAGAACGUCGUGAGACAGUUCGGUCCCUAUCUGCCGUGGACGUUUGAGAUUUGAGAGGGGCUGCUCCUAGUACGAGAGGACCGGAGUGGACGAACCUCUGGUGUUCCGGUUGUCACGCCAGUGGCAUUGCCGGGUAGCUAUGUUCGGAAAAGAUAACCGCUGAAAGCAUCUAAGCGGGAAACUUGCCUCAAGAUGAGAUCUCACUGGGAACUUGAUUCCCCUGAAGGGCCGUCGAAGACUACGACGUUGAUAGGCUGGGUGUGUAAGCGUUGUGAGGCGUUGAGCUAACCAGUACUAAUUGCCCGUGAGGCUUGACCAUAUAACACCCAAACA
rnacentral:rRNA from 1 species